GUGCCCUAUACCCACCUAACACACAUUUAGCAAUUCCUUUCCUCAUUUUUAUGAAGAUCACAAAAUAAAAUUUCUUUUCUUUAAAUUUUAACUCCUGUACCUUCUUUUCUUUCCUUCUUUUUCUCACCUUUUCUACAUCAUUCUUGAGUUUAUUCAUUGGAUAUUUAUCUAAUGACAAUUGCAUGUCUAGGUCAUAUACAAC
rnacentral:misc_RNA from 1 species